GACGAACGCUGGCGGCGUGCUUAACACAUGCAAGUCGAACGGAAAGGCCCUGCUUUUGUGGGGUGCUCGAGUGGCGAACGGGUGAGUAACACGUGAGUAACCUGCCCUUGACUUCGGGAUAACUUCAGGAAACUGGGGCUAAUACCGGAUAGGAGCUCCUGCUGCAUGGUGGGGGUUGGAAAGUUUCGGCGGUUGGGGAUGGACUCGCGGCUUAUCAGCUUGUUGGUGGGGUAGUGGCUUACCAAGGCUUUGACGGGUAGCCGGCCUGAGAGGGUGACCGGCCACAGUGGGACUGAGAUACGGCCCAGACUCCUACGGGAGGCAGCAGUGGGAAUAUUGCACGAUGGGCGGAAGCCUGAUGCAGCAACGCCGCGUGCGGGAUGACGGCCUUCGAGUUGUAAACCGCUUUCGCCUGUGACGAAGCGUGAGUGACGGUAAUGGGUAAAGAAGCACCGGCUAACUACGUG
rnacentral:rRNA from 1 species